UGAAGUCAACUUUGUCUCAAGUCUCAACCCAUAUAAUUAAUCCUGUAAUGUUUUGACCAAUGACUUUCUCAAGUAAACUCUUCUAUAUAAAUCAUUUAACCCGACACUUCCAUUAUUCACAUUCCAUCCACAAAUUAGAAAAAAAAAAUUCAUCCAAAGAGACAUGACGAGUAAAUCACUUGGAUCCAGCAUGGUCUCUCUCAUCUUCAUAUUCAUCAUUCUGUUAUCACACCCCAUGCAUCCACAAUCUGACGCGGCUAUGUUAACUUCACGCCAAUUGUUUCAAGACCCCCGUUAUCCACCAUGUCUAUGCUGUCAAACAGAUGCUCCACCGCCAACCCAUUGCUAUUGUGCAUGCUUUGUGACUCAUUCAGAAAAGCCGUAAUGAUCUACAAAAUCAAUUGAAAUAAGACAAGAAGUCAUGUUCAUAAUAUACAUGUUUAAGCAACAAACGAUAUAGAAUAUAGUUUACAGAAAAUCUUUGAAAGAAUAUGACUAAUGUAUGUGUAUUUUACUUUGUACUAUUUGUGUAUACGAAAUAUAAGCAAUUCAUGAGUUUAGCCUA